rnacentral:rRNA from 1 species
GAUGAACGCUAGCGGCAGGCUUAAUACAUGCAAGUCGAGGGGCAGCAUAAUUGUAGCAAUACAGUUGAUGGCGACCGGCAAACGGGUGCGGAACACGUACAGAACCUUCCUUCGAGCGGGGAAUAGCCCAGAGAAAUUUGGAUUAAUACCCCAUAGUAUUACGGAGUGGCAUCACUUUGUAAUUAAAGAUUUAUCACUUGAAGAUGGAUGUGCGGCUGAUUAGGUAGUUGGUGGGGUAACGGCCCACCAAGCCUGAGAUCAGUAACUGGUGUGAGAGCACGACUAGUCACACGGGCACUGAGACACGGGCCCGACUCCUACGGGAGGCAGCAGUAAGGAAUAUUGGUCAAUGGACGAAAGUCUGAACCAGCCAUGCCGCGUGAAGGAUGAAGGUCCUCCGGAUUGUAAACUUCUUUUAUAUGGGACGAAAAAAGGCUUUUCUAAGUCGUCUGACGGUACCAUAUGAAUAAGCACCGGCUAACUCCGUGCCAGCAGCCGCGGUAACAC